rnacentral:rRNA from 1 species
GACGAACGCUGGCGGCGUGCUUAACACAUGCCAGUCGAACGGAAAGGCCCUGCUUUUGUGGGGUGCUCGAGUGGCGAACGGGUGAGUAACACGUGAGUAACCUGCCCUUGACUUUGGGAUAACUUCAGGAAACUGGGGCUAAUACCGGAUAGGAGCUCCUGCUGCAUGGUGGGGGUUGGAAAGUUUCGGCGGUUGGGGAUGGACUCGCGGCUUAUCAGCUUGUUGGUGGGGUAGUGGCUUACCAAGGCUUUGACGGGUAGCCGGCCUGAGAGGGUGACCGGAGAAAGUGGGAAUGAGGUACGGCCCAGACUCCUACGGGAGGCAGCAGUGGGGAGUAGUGGACAAUGGGAGGAAGCCUGAUGCAGCAACGGCGCGUGCGGGAUGACGGCAUUCGGGUUGUAAACCGAUGUAGCCUGUGACGAAGCGUGAGGGACGGUAAUGGGUAGAGAAGCAACGGCUAACUACGUG